AGUUGAGAACGUUAUGUCUAGACAAACUCGACAAGAGUUUUUAGGCAUAUCAUAAUAUAAAAUUGUAAUUAGAUUAAAGUUGUGAGUUA